ACAAGCGGCUUACAAGCAUUCCACAGCAGCAACCCGAAACAGAUCCUUACUGAUCGAAAAGUGUCCGAGGACAGAAUGGCAGUCAAAUUUUUUUCCUGUCUCCUUUGUUUUCUUUUCCUUGUAAUGUUGUUUUCUCCUGGAUCUCAUGCCUCCCUAAACGGAGCGUGUAUGGGCCUUCCCCCAGGACAUUGUGGUCGCAAAGUUGAACGUUCGCGGAAGAUCAACUUUCAUGACGAUACUGAAAGUGCCUUUAUGAAGCGCCGUUUGUGUGACGCUGCAAAACGCGUGGGUUGCUGAGCCGGAAUUUGUGAUGCAGAAUGAUAAACGAAGUUUCGUCAAAGCUGUUAAUUUAAUAAUUUAACAUAUGAAUUAAAUGAAACAAAAAUGUUUUACUGUCCAUUGAUGACAUAAAAACAGGUUGAGAUGUGUAAAUUAAACACCGAAAACUAAUGAUCUAGCCCCACGUGAUUGAUGUUGUUUAAAUAAAGAUAACAUAAAUAUA